GCAGCCUGCAACUCGGCUGCAUGAAGCUGGAAUCGCUAGUAAUCGCAGAUCAGAAUGCUGCGGUGAAUACGUUCCCGGGUCUUGUACACACCGCCCGUCACACCAUGGGAGUUGGAAAUGCCCGAAGUCAGUGACCGAACCGAAAGGAAGGAGCUGCCGAAGGUGGAGCCGAUGACUGGGGUGAAGUCGUAACAAGGUACC
rnacentral:rRNA from 1 species